rnacentral:rRNA from 1 species
AAAUUUAUUAAAAUUUUAUUUUUAAGUUAAAAAGCUUAAAUUUAAUUAAAAGACGAGAAGACCCUAUAGAGUUUNAAUAAUUUUAUUUAAUUNNUUNUUNUUUUAGNAAAUNANNNUUUUAAUUNAAAUUAAUUAUUUUAUUGGGGUGAUAUAUAAAUUUGAUAAACUUUANUNAUUUNUUAAAACAUAUUUUUAUGAUUAAAUGAUCCAUUGUUAUAUGAUUAAAAGAUUUAAUUACCUUAGGGAUAACAGCGUAAUCUUUUUAAAGAGUUCUAAUCGAAAAAAAGGAUUGCGACCUCGAUGUUGGAUUAAAAUUAAUAAUUGGUGUAGAAGCUNAGNUUAAUUAGGUCUGUUCGACCUUUAAAAUUUUACAUGAUCUGAGUUUAAAUCGGUGUGAGCCAGGUUGGUUUCUAUCUUUAAUAUNAUUAAAUUAUUUUAGUACGAAAGGACCAAAUAGUUAUAAAAUUUAUNNUUUUANUNUUGAAUAUUAAUNNGUUAUUUUGGCAGAAUAGUGCAUUAAAUUUAGAAUUUNAAUUAUGUAANNNNGAUAUUUACAAGUAAUACUUGUUUUUNUAAAGAUUUAGUUUUAUCAUUAGUUAGUGGAUUAUUAUUAGUAAUUUGUGUUUUAGUGGGAGUUGC